rnacentral:misc_RNA from 1 species
AAGUUGUACACAGUUUUUUCUCAUGAUAAUAUCAAAUACUUGUCUAUGAUUGCUUGUUAAUUUUAAGAAAAUUUAGCAACUUUCCAAUAAGCUCUAAAAAUGUUUCCAAAAGGAAAUUACUACUGCCUCUUGACUUGUGACAAAAUUUAAGACUUAUGGUUGUGAUCCUAACAGAACAAAUGUAUUCCAAGUUGUCUACACUGUCAGACCUGUUGAUGCUACGCGGAUGUCCCAGGUAUGUCAUCAAUCGUUUGGCUAGGUUCCCCGGGUAGUAUUCUUUUCACAGCACGAGUGGUCAGUUUAUCUUUGGGAGGAGGCGGAGGAGGCCUGCUUGGAUGGAUUUGAUCGACUUUUUGGGAAGGAACGUCAAACUUGUAUCCACAGCCAGCUACACAAGCAUGAAAGCAUUCCUCAGAGCAGCUGGCGGCACCAGGAGAUCGAUCGAUGUAAG